UGCUGCUGUGUGCUGCUUGUGUGUACGCCUCCUCGCAGUGGACCGUGCUACGACCAAGCCCAAGUCUUCGGCAUGACCUCCAUGCUGUUUGACUCCGAGAACCGGCGGUUUUUCAUUCCGCUGGCGCGCAAGUAUUGUCCCGUUAAAUCUGUACAUUCAAAUUUAUACAGGAGCCUCCCGCAGGCUGCUUGAAGCAGCUCACCUUUUGUUGCCAAGCGCCGUUCAGCGACUGCUUCUGUCCGCCAGCAAGCUCGAAUCAUGGAUGAUGAAAUGCGGCUCUAGACCCCAAAGCUAUGUUCUGUAUUUAAAAGAAUGUGAAUUUGCCAUCAGCAGAGGCCAUAACUUAUAUAUGGGGAGGGAAAUACAAUGAAAACACCUGCAACGGGAUUCAUAAUAUUAGGCCACUUGUGGAUUGAUGGUUAUCACCAUCGCCCAAAUUUUCAUCCGAUAAAAUUGUUAUGACAGCAAAUCCAAUAGAAUCCCCAAGGGUGUUGCUCGGAUAUACAUUUCUAUAUGCUUGGCAGGGCGGUUUGAAGGACUGUAGUCAAACGCCAAGACCACCAGCUAGCUGUAAGAGACCUUUGCAAUAUCUCAGCCUCAUUCAUGUCCACUACCUCGUCAGGUCAAUGUCAACAAUGACUAGACCA
rnacentral:sRNA from 1 species